UGGGGAAUAUUGGACAAUGGGCGAAAGCCUGAUCCAGCCAUGCCGCGUGUGUGAAGAAGGUCUUCGGAUUGUAAAGCACUUUAAGUUGGGAGGAAGGGCAUUAACCUAAUACGUUAGUGUUUUGACGUUACCGACAGAAUAAGCACCGGCUAACUCUGUGCCAGCAGCCGCGGUAAUACAGAGGGUGCAAGCGUUAAUAGGCAUUACUGGGCGUAAAGCGCGCGUAGGUGGUUUGUUAAGUUGGAUGUGAAAUCCCCGGGCUCAACCUGGGAACUGCAUUCAAAACUGACUGACUAGAGUAUGGUAGAGGGUGGUGGAAUUUCCUGUGUAGCGGUGAAAUGCGUAGAUAUAGGAAGGAACACCAGUGGCGAAGGCGACCACCUGGACUAAUACUGACACUGAGGUGCGAAAGCGUGGGGAGCAAACA
rnacentral:rRNA from 1 species